rnacentral:rRNA from 1 species
UAGGGAAUCUUCGGCAAUGGACGAAAGUCUGACCGAGCAACGCCGCGUGAGUGAGGAAGGUUUUCGGAUCGUAAAACUCUGUUGUUAGAGAAGAACAAGGGUGAGAGUAACUGUUCACCCCUUGACGGUAUCUAACCAGAAAGCCACGGCUAACUACGUACCAG